ensembl:lncRNA
AUGCUGAGAAUCAGAUUAAGAAUAGGAAUAAGAUUGAGAACACUUACCUGCCCUCCCAUAGUAACACUGCUGUCCAUUAAAGCAGCAGUUGAUAGCUUCACACUCAGCACCAUUGAUCACAGGUGGUCCACAUUGGAUCUGCUCAUAAUCAGCUACAGCACAUUUAUCAAGGGGCUCUGCCUGCACCACUGGCUUCUGAUGCUGAAACUGCUGGUUAGUUUGUUGGCGAACUGGCUUCUGAAGCUGAAACUGCUGGUUAGUUUGUUGAACUGGCUUCUGAAGCUGAAAUUGCUGGCUAGUUUGUUGAACUGGCUUCUGAAGCUGAAAUUGCUGGCUAGUUUGUUGUCGAACUGGCUUCUGAAGCUGAAACUGCUGGUUAGUUUGUUGAACUGGCUUCUGAAGCUGAAACUGCUGGUUAGUUUGUUGUAGAACUGGCUUCUGAAGCUGAAUCUGCUGGUCAGUUUGCCGGAUUAUCAGAGCUUGAGGUUUCUGAGGCAUAUUGCUCCACUGUGAAACAGCAUGACAGAAACCACACACUGCCAAAAUCUGAACCAAACACCAACUUCCAGCCAUUGUUCAACAGCUUAGCACAAAAUGGAGAUGCUGCCCUUUGAUCUUUUUAUACUCUACAGGUUUCAGCUAAUUCAAGAUAGUCCCACCCACCUUCAUUAACCCUCAUGAUUCUCCAGACUUGCAUGAGUUGGCGCUUAUGCAGAGUGAUUCUUGAACGCUGUGUCCCAGACUGAAGUGUACGGAGCCCCGCAUAUGACAUGCAAGAAAAAAUAAUAAAUUUUGUGCGC